GGGUCGGCUUGCCUGGUGUUUGAUAUUUAAUCCAAAUCUGUUUCCAUGUGUCAACAGAGAGGGUAGAUCUUUAGAACUCCUAUGGAAGGUAAUGAGACAAUGACCAGGUAAACACUACAGAUGACAAGGGAAGGAGGAUAGCAGGUCAGACGGGAUCCCACUUGCUUCCUUGCUACUGGUGAAGCAUCUGCCCCCAUAUUCCUUCCCACUCCACACCACCUCGGGCACUCCAGUUCAGACCAUAUUACCUGCACCUAAACUACCUGUCUCCAGUCACAGAGAGAGAGAGAGAGAGAGAGAGAGAGGCAGAGACAUAAGCAGGCUCCAUGCACUGAGAGCCCGACGUGGGAUUCGAUCCCGGGUCUCCAAGAUCGCGCCCUGGGCCAAAGGCAGGCGCCAAACCGCUGCACCACCCGGGGAUCCCGAAAUGUGUAUACUUUUAAACUUAAUGCAGAUGCAAGAAGUUGUGACUUAAAGGACUUGGCCUAGGAUUGAUCACAUUACAGUGUCUGGCAGCUUCGCAUCAAAUUGGCAGAAAUACCUUGAAAGGACCUUUCCUCAACGGCAGUGGCAAGAAAUCAAGUUCCCUGGCCUCAGAAAUUAUAUUCCAUCUGAAUGUACAAUCUGUACUUAGCCUGUGUGACUUGAAUUAGCAUUCAUUUAGAGCUCCAAACAGAAGUAUAAAACAAAGAUUGCCAAGAAGUAUGAGAGAGGAGUUCCGUUUUGUAUUUUGGAAACUUCAUGUCUAGAAUACUGAAUGAAGUGGAGAAAAAAGAAAGUAACAGGACAUCUGACAUCUGUAAGCACAGUAUAACUGGGCAGAACAGCCAAAGCAAUGGAAAGGAACAAACAUCUGGGUCAUCGCUACAUACAAGAAGCUGGGAUUUUUGCUUUAAAUACGUCAUCUCCUACAAUCUUCAUAAAAACCUCCCAGUAGGAGCAGAAAUAAACUUAAAAUAUCCAGAUGAUAAAACCAAGGUGUUUUAUAAAGACCACACCUGCAACCGCUGAAACACUCCAGAUCUUAAGUUUCCAAAGCCAUAGUGGUACUGCGGAUUCAGAGCACUUUCCGAUGCCUCUUCAUAGGGGGACUGUUCAAUUUCCCAGUCAAACUCUUCAUCCUCCUCUUCUACUCUUUCCUCAGAAACCUCAGAUGCACCUGAAUGUGUUAAAUAUUAAUUGUUCAAGUAUUAGAUUUCCUGGGUACAACUUGGGGAAGAAAAAGUAUAGGGGAAAAAAAAAUGUCUUCCCAUGUGCACCAAAAGGGACACAGAAGAAUAUGUGUAGCCCCACUAUUUUUAAGUCAAAAAGUUAAAAAUAAAAAAAAAAGGACGACCCAAAAGGCCCAUCAGUAGUAGGAUGUAUAAAUGAUAAAUGCAAUGAAAGCAAACAAACCUGAGCUAUAGAUGGAUAAAUCCCACAAAAAUAUUAAGUGAAAGAACCCAGACAAAAAAGCAUACAUACCGUCUGAAUUAUAUACACAAUUCAAACAGGCAAAAUAGAGGCUAAUGGUAACCUGGAGAGAAGGGAGGGAGAAGUGACCAGGAGGCGGCUCAGGGUAAGAUUCCAGGGUAUUGGAAAUGUUUCAUUUCCUGACUAGGUGGUGUUUCUUUUUUGCAAUUCAUUGGAUUAUAAACUUUUGAUCUAAGCUCAUGAGGCCAUUAUUUUGCAAAAGACAGAGAUGCUGUUUUGAAUGGUCCAAAAACGUGACUGACAUGUGGGUUUGAUAAAGUUCUUUUUGUCUUUAAAUUAUAUGUUACCAAAUGAACUAUUUUUUGCAUUUUCAUGUGAUAUCCUUACCUUGUCACCUUAAGGAUUUUUCUGAUUUCCUAUUUGCUUUAUCCCUCUUCCCCUAGAAACAUACAGCAUUCCAAAUAUUGUAUUAACCUGUAUUUCUUUUUCUUCUUUUUAAACCUGUAUUUCUUCUUAACUACA